AACUGUGAGCCAAGUAAACCUCUUCUCUUUAUAAAUUACCCAGUUUCGUGUAUUUGUUUAUAGCAGUAUGAGAAGGGACUGAUACACUCACCUAAUCAAUUAUUCCCUCUCUAACCACUUCCCUCUACCCAAAUUCAUCCUCUGAUGUGCAACCAUCAAGCAUAGAUGGUAUUCUCCAAUGGGGAGUGCUUGAGUACAGAAAUUAUGUGGUCCUGUGAUCUUACUAGUGUGUUUAUUUUCUAAGCAGGGAAAUUAUUUGAGGAAGUGACCACAGAUGAAACUGUUUCCAGAUGUCUACAAAGGUUUUUGGGUUUUGUGGGGACUGAAGUACAGCAGGAAGCAGCAUAAGCAGACAGAAAGAAGCCUUAGUGUGUAGUAAAAGUUGGGUAGCUGAGACCAUUGCAGAGGCAGUGGGAUACAAUAUCUUCACAUGAAAUGUAAAGUGAUUAAAACCCAAUUUGAUAAAAUCCCAAAGACUGAGACUGCUACAGGAGCAGGAAAGAGGAAAGAAAAGACAGUGAGAUCAUAUAGCACUAAAGGAACUUCAGGUAGGGAGUUUUAUCAAGAUAGAACUUCCAGUUUUGUCUCAAAUGACUGCUGAAUUCCUUUUAUUUAAUUUUAAAAUUUAUUUAUUUUUAUUAUCUGUUUUGAAGGGUGGGAUAGAGAGCCAGAUGAGAAAUAGAUUUGGUUUAUCUUGGGCUCCCAAGUGACAAGAAUCUGUUUCUUUGUUUGGUAGCCUUUUUUUAAAGAGGUGCAGAUUAUCUGUUACCUACAUAUCUUAAACCAUCCUAGUCCUUCUUAGCAUUCAUAGUAUAUUUCCUCUAUUUCAUACUGUGCCUUCUACUCUCUCUGUAUGUUGCUGGUUUAGGUACUAAGGCUUAGAUUUAUCAUUGCCUCCUAACUGAUGUACUUGCUUUAAAUCUCAUCUCUUUUGGCCGGGCGUGGUGGCUCACGCCUGUAAUCCCAGCACUUUGAGAGGAUGAGGUGGGCAGAUCACUUGAGGUCAGGAGUUCGAGACCAGCCUGGCCAACGUGGUAAAACCCCAUCUCUACUAAAAAUAUAAAAAAUUAGCCGAGCAUGGUGGCGUGUGCCUGUAGUCCCGGGUUCUCGGGAGGCUGAGGCAGGAGAAUCACUUGAAACUGGGAAGCAGAGGUUGCAGUAAGCUGAGAUUGUGCCAUUACACUCCAGCCUGGGUGACAGAGCGAAACCCUGUCAAAAUAAAUAAAAAUUAAGUCUCUUCCCUUUUGCAUGCAUAUGUAUUCAUGUGCAAGCACACAUGUACACACACACACACACACACACACGUACACAAGACUAUCAGAGCAAUAGCCCUCAAAGACAGGUAUUAUUACCUACUAACCCUGCUUUCAGUGUUUUCUCAUUUCAUCAUUUAAGCUCUAAGCUCCUCUUUUCAAUUUUCAAGACUGCCCAUUGAUUUAACUCCAGUAUCUCUGAUAGAAUUUAGCACAAUCUGCCAUAUAUCCUAGCAGCUGUUUUAUAGAAGCAUAAUUCUCUCCAUUUAGACUGUGAGCUUUUACAAGUCAGGGACAUUUUUUUAACUGCUUCAUCCCCAUAAUAACUAGGAUGUGAUUCCCUAUAGUAGGUGCUCAAUAAAUGCUAAAUGAAGGGGUGACUACUUUUCCUGAGUUUGACGGCAAUCUCAUCUAGGCCACAAGAGAAACCUGAUAAAAAUACCAGCUCCCCUCACUUUUUUUCUCAUGAAACUAAUUUUUAAAACUUUCCACAAGGUUGAUUAUACUUCUCAUCCUUGGAUAAUUUUAAAAGAAUUAUUUUUAUUGUAUUAUUUUGUUAGUUUAGUUUAGUUUUUAAGUUUUCACUCUUUUGGUUUAUUCACAUGUGGCAUUUCACAUUGUAAAAUGCAUAUAUCACAUCUGUGGCUACAUUGUGAAAACUUACCAACCUAUUUUGCAUUUAUUGAAUCUCAAGAAGCCUAUAUCCUGCUUGCCUUGUGGGAGAUUUCUUAUGUAGAGUAUUCAUGUGCUCUGUAUUACACAGAUUCCUAUUAACUUCCACCACAGCAAGAUGUCUCUUGUUUGAUUUUGACUAGUUUCCUGUGUCACUUAUAAAAUGUAGGAUCCAAGUAUUCCUUAUCUUAAAUCUCUGAGACAUACUACAAUUCGGAGAUGUCAGCCUUGGAAAUUAUUGUUCCUUCCUAUAAUCAGUGUUAUAUAAAGCCCUAACAGAAGCACACAAGCACUGCACCUUAGGUAUGUAAUGCUUACUGAACUUACUGAAUCUCAGGGCAGUGGUUUUUAAACUGUAUUCCAAGGACUUCUAGCAUUCAUUAGAAACCUCUCAAGAUGUUUCUUAUAAGAAAAGCUACUACUUUUGCCAACUUUGCUUUUAUCUAAUUAUGUAACUUGGGUUCCAAGUAAGAUUUACUUUGGAAAAAACACAACACCACAAUUUUCAAACCUUAACAAAAAAAAAGUGAAAUUAACUAUGUUAGAAGAUAAAUAGAAAGAUAUAGAAACCUAAUACUAACCUUAAAGAACGCUUCGAUUAUUGGAAGCUUUUUAACACCUAUUUCUCAUUUUAUUUAAUGCUCAUGCCAUUUGAAAGUCACUUAUGUAGACCAGAUGUUACUGGUUUCUGUUCCUAUUGAUAUGAUAAUCACACCACUUCCCCUCAAAAAAUGACCCAGGAUUUAUUUUUUCCUGUAAGUAUCUACUGAGUCUCUCCAUGUGCCAGAUAUUAGAUAUGAUGCCAGUUAUAACAACUAGUUUAAACAAACAAACAAAAAUUUGGUAUGGUUCCCAUCAUUAUGUACCUUAUUAUCUAAUGGAGCUUGUGUUUUCAUACCCAUCAUUCCUGACACUAACAAAGAACCUUUGGUUGCCUGGUUGAUUGUUUAGUUAUUGGCUUCUUUAGUUGGUUGCUUCAUCCUUUCACUACUUUGACAAGUAAGAUCAUGGCAGCGGUUGAGGCAGGGCAACAUGAUGGAAUGGUGCUAAUUGCUCUUCCAUUUGCAAUAAUCUUUGGCAAUGGUCCUUUGCGUUCCAGUUUUAAAUAUGGAAUUGUUACUUCUGUACUAGUACUGUACUUAAAAUUUCCCUUUUAUUUUUCCCUGUUUUUCUUGCAAGCUAAUACCUCCCUACCUCUUUUGAUAGCAGAGGUUAUUUUUUAUAAAUUCAUGAAAUCCUCCAUUUUCUACUGCUUCUGGUGCAAUUCUUUACACAUAUAGAGUACUCCAUAAAGUGUCUGAAAUUGCCAGUUAUAUUUCUGCAUUUCUGGCUCUAUGAGUGAGGAUAAUGACUGAACUAUUGCAGGUAUUUUUGAGCCUCAUGCCAAGCUCUGUCAAGGUAGAAGACUAUUCUUACCAGGGAUAUUGUGUCAGGACUGUAUAUAUCAAGUAAAGUGUUAAAUUGGGUGACCUCCAAAGCUCCUCUACUUCUUAAUUUUUACGAUUCUGUGUUAUUGCACAAGGAUGCAAUUUUAUAAACAGAAAAAUAAGUUUGCCUUUGGGUGUUAGGCUUUCAUAUCCUUCAGUGUGAGUUUUCAUUGGAUUUACUAUAACCAUUAGCAGUGUUCUCUGCAUUGUACUGAAAGUACCAGAAACUUUGGCUCUGCUUCUUAGCAUAGAAAUGUCUUUUUCACAAAUCAUCCUGCAAAUAUAUCUACUUAUACCCAUAUGACACUCACUUUGACCCAGUCUCUUUUUUUAAGAAAAAAAAGGGAAAGAUUAUAAGAUAUAAAUAUGUAUGAUUUAAUGUGGGUAUGGGUAUGUGCUUCCAUAGAUCUGCUUCCUCGUCACUUUCCUUGGGUGUACACCUCUCCUACAUUGAAUCAAUGUUUAUUGAUUGAUAUCAAUGUUUAUUGAUAUUUAUACUUCCUGGCUUCCCAGCACUGCUCUGGAUGUUUAGGUUAAAUCAAAGCAGGAUACAACUAGAUAGGACAAAUAAGUUAUAGUGUUCUAUACCAUUGUAGGACGACUAUAGUUAACAAUAAUAUAUUCCAUUGUUUCAAAUAGCUGGAAGGAGGAUAUUGACUGUUCCCAACACAAAGAAAUAAUAAAUAUUUGAGAUAAUGGACUUGCUAAUUACAUUGAUCUGAUCACUAUACAUUAUAUGUAACAUAAAUAUGUACAACUAUUAUAUGUCAAUUUAAGAAUUUUUAAAAAUGAAAAAGUUUAUUUCCCAAAGAAAGAAAAAGAAGAAAGCAAGCAAACCCUUGGCCUUGCAGAGAAUAGUCUAAAAAAAUAUUUUGAAUAGUUUAACCUAAAAAAAUAACUAAAGAACAAUAAACCUAGCUGUCUCAGGAUGAGUGUUAUAUACUGUGAGUAAAGGCUCUUCAUGUAAGUUAAAGAACAAUUCCAGUGGUGAAUAUAUUUAUUAAAGAAGAAUUCUUACAGUUUAGACUUGUCCUCAUAUUGAUGGAGGAGACAUUUGAGAAGGUGGAUAGUGGAGAAGUCGGCAUAAGCCAGUGCACAAAAGUGAGACACAAAAGAAUAAGGACAGGCGAUAGGAAAUGAACUGAAGCAAAGGGUCACACAUAUAGCCAGGUUCAAAGACAAGGAUGGAAAAGAGAGUGGUGGAUAGGCUAAAUGGUGGGUGAUUUUGAAGGGAAAUUGAUGGAGUUUGUAUAUGAUGUGGUAGACGGCAGAGAGUCAUUGUCCAUGAUUUGGAUUGAGUGAGUAUUGUUUUGUGAGAUGGACUUAGCUAUGUAGAGAGGAAGAGCACAGCGAUAAGAAAGUCAGCUGAAAGACGGUCACAAAAAUCACCCUAUGAGGUAAUAAGUUGCUUAGUCUUCUGGUUGAAGUGAAGGAGAAGGGACAAAUAUAAAAUAUGGCUAGAUUUGAUGAGCAGUAGUUUUAUAGGCUAAUUCUUUGGGUGCUUUUUAGCGAAGUUAUCAGUUUUCUUUACUGAAAAAUGCCUCUGGUCCAUGAGUAGGCCAAAAGAAUGAGCACAAUAAAAGACAUAGCUAUUAUGAUUGCUAUUUUUAUAAUAUCUGUUUCGAGAUUUCAAGAGAGAAUAAUAGUCUUAAUGUGGUGUUUGGUAGGCCAGUGCUGUGUUAAACAGCUAUUACUUAUUACCCUAUGGCGGCUGCUUCCCAAAGAUGGGUGAAGUGAUACCCAAGAAUAUGGCUUGCAGAAUAUUUUGGGAUCAGCUCACAUAAAAGGCACCAUAAAAAAGCAAGGUGUCAUUAUCAAUAGUCAUAACAGUGUUGGUUGUUAUUGUUGUCUUGGGAAGUUUAUAAGAACUAAUUGCAGUGGCAGCUCAUACUGCAGCUAUAAGCUAUAGAAAUAAUCUUUUGGGUCAUAAUAUUAAAAAUGUCCAAAGGCAGCUAAACAGCCUUUGGAAAUAAAUGAGGCUGCUUUGAUUUUUACCUGUGACAAUGCACAAAUCUGGCAUUUUCUGAUUUGGAAAAGUUCUGAGUCUGGAAAUUAAACUGUCAGAGUUGAAAAGUAUAGGAAUGUGAGGACCAAAAGCUGUUUAAUCAAAGUGCUGGAUACUUUUUCAAAAGGGAUAGGAAAUAGAUUGUCCAAUAACAAUGGUAACUGUGUGAAAUGCAUCUUCGGAACAAGGAGAGAUGGAAGAAGAGGAAGAAGGCAAGAGAAACUGGAGAUUGCUUUCCCAAUUGUUAAAAAAAAAAAAAAAAAUGUUUUCCCCUCUUCUUCUAUUUCUUCUAUUAUGGCAGGACAUAAAAUGUUAAAUAUGCUCUCGCUCAUCUUCAAUUAAAGCACUUGCCUUUGUAAUUCUUCUAUAUUCCACUGAUUCAAAUUUCUGGGGUUUCAAAAUAUUUAAUGCCAAAGCAGUAUUAUACACAUAAUAGAAACCUAGUAUGUGUAUAGGUUUGCACACAUAUAUUUUCCAUUUUUAAUGGUCCUAUCCCUACUAUAAAGAAAGUGGUAACAGAAGGUGACAGAAAAUGAUUUACACAUUUUUUAACUCCUGAAUUAUUAGUGGGCAUUUGCCACUGGAUUAUAAAUUCUAGAGUUACUAUUAGUGUUUUUCUAAUGGAUCUUUGUUAUCCCCAAGUUGGUCAGUGUUCAGCCAUUUAAUUGGCAAACUGAAAAGGCCAUGGUCUAUAUCAUAUUCUGUUGCACCAACAUUUAGAUGAAGCAAUUAAAACAAAUGUAGUGGGAUUUACCCAAAUAGAGGUCUGCUUUGUUACAAGAGGCCCAUGCUUGCAUCCAGGACAGCUAACCUGCCUCCUUUUUUGUCACUUAUUCAUCCAACAUUUAUUGAAUGACAGUUCUGUACUCAGCUCCAUUUUUGUGUUAAGAUUGCAGGGAUGUGCAAGUUACCCAUAACCAUAAAGGACUUUGACCAUAGGAAGAACACUAACCUUGUUCUUUUAGUUAUCAUAACAUUCAUGUAUGUUGAAAUAAGUCGAUCUUAAGAUUUUUGAGAAUUUAGUGGAUAGCACUAUUUACAAUUUACUCAGCUCUGUGUUUUAUUUGAGAAGGUGGGACUCUUUUUUUUCUCUCAUUCUAUCAUUUCCCAUCCUCUUUCCCAGUAGCCAUUGUCGAUGUGGAAACUGUUAUGUUUCCUGUCAUGAAGAGGGGAAAGAAACACUUCACUCAACAAUGCCAAUAUAAGUGAACCAACCCUUACCUUUAGGUUAUCAAGCAAAACUUGAAUCAUGACACUAAACAUCCAUUACACUAAUGAUUCUGAAAGCAGUCCUUCUUGAGAGAAGAAUUGAGAGAAAUUAGGUGCUUAUAUUUCUAUCCCACAUCCUCUCAACAACAUGAUUCUGAAAGCAGUCCUUCUUGAGAGAAGAAUUGAGAGAAACUAGGUGCUUAUAUUUCUAUCCCUUAUCCUCUCAACAACAUUGCUACCAUCUUUCUUGGGAGUUUUCAAAUGCUCUUAAAUCUAGGUUUGAAGUUGCCUUUGUCCCUACUGCAUUUUUUAUGCUCUAUCACAAGCUAAAGCAAAAAAUAUUAGUUGUUGGGGAAGCCCCAGUAACAAAUUCCAGAUAUUUAUAUUGAGCGUCUAUAGAUAUUCUCAACCCCAGAAGAAGUAAGAGACACUGACAAUUACGGUAAAAGAACUUAACAGCUUUCAAGUAAAAAAAAAAAAAAGGAAAGCCUUAAAAUAAUGAAAUUGAUCCAGUUUUACUUCUUACCAAUUCUCUGGUAAAAUUUUAACCCUUUUUGCUGUCAGAUUAUAGACGGUUGUGAACAUAUAAACUACAUAUAAACUAUUAUCUGUAAUUGGCGCAUGGCCAGCAGUCAUUUUUUUAAUCAUUAAUCUGUACAUAGACACUUACUCAGUACCUGACAUGAUCUAGAAGCUCAAUUGAUAUUUAUUAAAUAUAUAAAUUUAUUUAUUUAUUUAACCUUUUGGAAGAAGGUCAAUAAAACUAUUCUGUUUUUAUAGUGUUGGUGGUUACAUGACUGUGCAUUCAUCAAAACCAAUAAAAUUGUGCACUAAAAUAAGUAAUUUUAUUGUAUGUAAAUAAAAAGUUUUUGAGUGAAUGGAUGCUCACCCCAUGAAGGAUCCAUGCAUGCCUAUUCAGUCUUCCUUUUAUCGAUCAGUCAUUUUUUGAGGAACCACAAUGAACUGGUCACUGUUUGAACUCCAAAGAGAUAGAGAUAAAUAAAUGGUCUCUUUUGCUCCUGUCUAAAAGUUGAUCCUCUCUUCUCCACCUGCUCCUUAUACUCCAAUCUCUUAUAGUUUCCUUUUGUCAAAACUUCACCUUACUAGGGUCCCAUGGAUGAUGGCUUCUCAGAGGACAGAAGGGCCCAGAGAUUCUGGAUUCUUUGGAUUUAGAGAUGACUCAAGGCCAAAAUAAAAUCCUAUUUUAUUGAUAUUAUGGGUGAUAAGAAGUUGUGCUUUUAUUUGCCCAAAUACUUGCUGGCAAAAAUAUGUUCAUGGUUCAGAUUAUCAGAUUUAAAAAAAUCAGGUAGGGCCACCUACAGUUGUUCUGUCAUUUGAUUGUUAUUUGUGGAGGUAACAUGAUGAUGGUAUUAAGAUAAUAGGAGCAGUAGUAAGAGUGAUAAUACUUUGAGUGUAGUGAUCAGACUUGGUUUUCUAUUUAAUAUAACUCAAUUUUGUUGUGAGGUUUCUAUAUUCCUGCAUGAUUCAAUGAAAUGUGAUCUCAUCUCUAGCUAAUAUAGUCUUAUUAAUCCAAACCAAUAAUAGUAAUCCUAUUCCCCUUCUCAGCAAUUGGUAUAGAAUGUAAAAAUCAAAUGCUUGUUAAACAUUUUCUAUGUGCCAGCUACUGUUCUAAGCACAUGAUUUGUAUUAACCCAUGUAAUCAUCACAACAAUCCAAUGUGGAAUGCAAUAUUAUGACCUCCAUUUAUAGAUAAGGAAUUUGAAGCACAGAGAAAUAAAGCAAAGCCCAAAGUUAAAUAGUUCUGAUGCACAAUGCUGGAAUUCAAACUCAAGUCAUCUUAUUCCAGUUUUCAUGCUUUUAGCACUAUAUUAACCUGCAUACAACCCAAUUCUUGUCCAUGAGAUAUGAGAAAAAUAAACUGUUGAAAAUUUCUCGGUUUUCUUGCACCUCAGGAUUGAACGAACAUAGAGAAAGAAGAGCCAGGAACCACAGAGACAGCAAAGUAAUGGUCAGACACACAACCCUGGAGCCUGCCCAACUUGUGUACCUCUUAUUAUGUGAGAUAAUAAAAGUCUUCAUUGUGUAAAUCA